rnacentral:misc_RNA from 1 species
GGAAGUAAAAGUCGUAACGAGGUUUCCGUAGGUGAACCUGCGGAAGGAUCAUUAAUGAGUUGUCAUGGGGUUCGAUGCUGGCAGCCAAUUUUUGGAUGCAUGUGCUUGCCCUAACAAUCAUCUUCCAAACACCUGUGCACAUUUUUGAGGGAGUCUUGAGUUGGUUGCCGCUCUUGGGUGAUUUUCUCACAUUCCCUUAAAUCAUUAUACGCUAUUAACAAUGUUGAACGUGCUCUGUGCCGCAAGGCUAUUAAUAUAAUACAACUUUUAACAACGGAUCUCUUGGCUCUC